CAGUCGCCGCGGUAAUACCGAGGGUGCGAGCGUUAAUCGGAUUUACUGGGCGUAAAGCGUGCGUAGGCGGCUUCUUAAGUCGGAUGUGAAAUCCCUGAGCUUAACUUAGGAAUUGCAUUCGAUACUGGGAAGCUAGAGUAUGGGAGAGGAUGGUAGAAUUCCAGGUGUAGCGGUGAAAUGCGUAGAGAUCUGGAGGAAUACCGGUGGCGAAGGCAGCCAUCUGGCCUAAUACUGACGCUGAGGUACGAAAGCAUGGGGAGCAAACAGGAUUAGAGACCCCCGUAGUCCCUGUCUCUUAUAC
rnacentral:rRNA from 1 species